UGGGCAAUCUGCCCUGCACUCUGGGACAAGCCCUGGAAACGGGGUCUAAUACCGGAUAACACUUUCCUCUGCAUGGGGGAAGGUUAAAAGCUCCGGCGGUGCAGGAUGAGCCCGCGGCCUAUCAGCUUGUUGGUGGGGUAAUGGCCUACCAAGGCGACGACGGGUAGCCGGCCUGAGAGGGCGACCGGCCACACUGGGACUGAGACACGGCCCAGACCUCCGUACGGGAGGCAG
rnacentral:rRNA from 1 species